UGGAGGCAGCAGUGGGGAAUAUUGCACAAUGGGCGGAAGCCUGAUGCAGCAACGCCGCGUGGAGGACGAAGGCCUUCGGGUCGUAAACUCCUUCUCUGGGGGACGAGCAAGGACGGUACCCCAGGAAUAAGUCUCGGCUAACUACGUGCCAGCAGCCGCGGUAAAACGUAGGAGGCGAGCGUUAUCCGGAUUUACUGGGCGUAAAGCGCACGCAGGUGGCUGUGCAAGUCGGACAUGAAAGCUCCUGGCUUAACUGGGAGAGGUGGUUCGAAACUGCAUGGCUUGAGGUUGGGAGAGGGACGUGGAAUUCCCGGUGUAGUGGUGGAAUGCGUAGAUAUCGGGAGGAACACCAGUGGCGCAAGCGGCGUCCUGGCCCACACCUGACGCUGAGGUGCGAAAGCGUGGGGAGCAAACAGGAUUAGAUACCCUAGUAGUCU
rnacentral:rRNA from 1 species